rnacentral:rRNA from 1 species
ACUCAAAGGAAUAGACGGGGGCCCGCACAAGCGGUGGAGUAUGUUGUUUAAUUCGAAGCAACGCGAAGAACCUUACCAAGCCUUGACAUACCGGACAAUGCUAUAGAGAUAUAGUGGAGGUUGAUGGAUACAGGUGGUGCAUGGUUGUCGUCAGCUCGUGUCGUGAGAUGUUGGGUUAAGUCCCGCAACGAGCGCAACCCUUGUCUUUUGUUACCAUCAUUUAGUUGGGGACUCAAAAGAGACUGCCGGUGAUAAACCGGAGGAAGGUGGGGAUGACGUCAAAUCAUCAUGCCCCUUAUGGCUUGGGCUACAAACGUACUACAAUGGCGUAUACAAAGAGCUGCUAGCAGGUGACUGUAAGCGAAUCUCAUAAAGUGCGUCUCAGUUCGGAUUGAAGUCUGCAACUCGACUUCAUGAAGUUGGAAUCGCUAGUAAUCGCGAAUCAGCAUGUCGCGGUGAAUACGUUCUCGGGCCUUGUACACACCGCCCGU